CUCGCAUGAAUAUAAUCUCACUCCUCAGUCGGUUUCGUGAACUUGUGGCGAGAGGAGGUUCUACUCUGUCCGCGCUACAGCCGAUGCUACGGCGUAUUCCAUGUAGUUUUUGAAUGCCAGAAAAAUCGAAGAUACUCGAGCUUCAAAAGAGACGAGGACAAUGAUACCAGGGUUGCCUUCGUGAUACCGUCUUUUCCCGUCAGUUUAGUCCUUUUUCUUCUUCUUCUUCUUCUUCUUCUUCUUCUUCUUCAGUCGUCCACGCCAACAGCCAACAGAACCUCGACAGUGAAAGAUGCAGUCUGUAAGGCUCAUUCUCCCGCUUUCUGUGGUUACCUCCGUUUUCUUCGUUACGUCACUUGCAACUCGUAACGGGGGAGACCAAAGCAAAUUGAAGGGGAAAUCGUUACUGUCGCAAGAUGUUCACUUGGCUGACAACUUAGCCGAAGAAAAGGAGGAAAAUUUGGGCAGCCUGGCUUCACCAUCACUGGUCAAUCCAAAGUGGGCUUCACAUAUCUCACAUGGACACACAGGUCAUAAGGCCAAACCUUCCUCAUUCGAGUCUAGUUUCCAGUGGCGUCCUUCCCAAACCAUUCCGGACCACUUCAGUGCCGUCAUCCCUCCAAGUUCAUUCCAGAACAGAGGUCCCGCUCUAGUUCCCUUCCGCAGCGAAGAGGGCCUGUCGUUCUUCGAGAACCAGAGCACCCAGAAUUCGCAAUUUGGAGGAGGACCAGUCGACAGACCUCUAAGAGAAACCUUUGCCGAAGAAAGGCAGUUUCGCCCUGAAAGACCUCCACUACCACCACCACCACCAGGUCAACCACUACCUCAAAGGCCACAAAGAGGACCACCGAGAAAUUUGGGGAGGCCCGUUUUCCUGCAGGACAACCCCGCUCUUUCUCCACCACCACCUCCUAGGCCGACUCCCUCCAGUUUUAAUCUGCCUACGCCAACACAUCCAGAUAUUAGUUUAAUACCACUUCAGGAUUCUGGGGUUUCUGGCGUCAACGACUUGCUUGAGGAGAGAUUUCCUCCAUUCAAUGACGAACCCUUGUCGCCUGCUCAGCUUGCAGCCGUGAGCCGAGAUCCAGCCGUAACAACUCAGCAACCUUUUCUUCAGUUCAUUACUCAAGAUGAACCUCUGCCAUUAUCCCACCAGAGUCCUGGAGAGCUAACUCAGCAAGUUCCCUUGUCCCAGCUGCUUGAGACUCCCCGUUCUCAUCCAAGGCAGAACAGCACUAAUAGACCGAGGCACCUAGGGUCUCUUUUUCCACAGUCGCAGCAGCAAAGGGUCACUCCCAUAACACAACAGCCAGCAACAACACCAACACAAAAGCCAACACCACCUCCCACUCAACCAAUUCGCGUUGAACCUUCUCAGCCUCCGCAGUCACCAAAUGAUGUAACGCAUGGCAUCUUUCCUGGCUUAAACCCCUCCCACCGGCCUUUCUUUGAAGGACCUACAGCACAAUUCUCUUUCGAUGGCCUUUCUGGACCGUCUUUUGAGCAGAUUCCACAACUCUUACCUCCUCCCCAAUUCCCUCCUCAGGAGCUGAACCACAUACCCCAAGAACCUCCUCUGUCAUCAGCUAAACCCACAGUCCCACGGCCUCCCAGACAGAAAACCCAGCCUGGAUUUCAGCAGCCUUUCCGACCGGCGCCUGCACAAAAGCCCACCGGUCAAGAGCCCCCUGAGGAAGAAGCCUUCCCACCUCAGAAUCAACCGUUUACCGCACCUAACCCCCUCCCACCUCACUCAGACCCUUCACCACCACCAGCACCAUCUAGUGGACCCACGGGACGACCAUCAUUCCCGUUCCAGUUCCAAAGACCUCCUCAGAGACCUGCAAGAGGACAGCCUAACUUUCGUCCACCACCUCCCCCUCCUCUUAGAGGACGGAGACGUCCAAUUCCGGUCAGGAUACUGGAUCCAAGGCGGCUUAGGCAACAAACAACUCCACCUGUUCCCCAAAACGUCGCCAGCAGACGACCUAGGAGCGAGGGCCCCUUCCAGGCAAGAGAGCACUCCGCAGAAGGCCAGUUCCAGCAAGGACUGAUCUCUCCCUUCGCGUCAGGCCAUAGGUCAAAUGGACAGCUACAGAUCGGACUACUCAGACCCUCCCAAAGCGCAUAGUCUGUCGAGUGGGUUUCAGAUAACAUUGCCGAACCAUACACACGUCACUGAACACAAGUUUGGGCUGCGCUUCAGUAUGUCUUCGAACCUCCAAGGCGGACCACCCAUGCCGCUCGUGGGCGUCGACUUCGAUUCUGACGUGGUUUCCAGGCCACGCGAUCCUUACCAAGAGAGGAAGAAGAAGGCAUUCUUGAA